UCGCUUCUUUGGAUUUCUCUUGUUCAUGUGACAUUUUUCAUAUCAAUAAUAGCGUCCAAACGUAGAGUGCAUGGACCAUCUUCUCAGCAUAGUGGAAGGUAAUCAAUUCUAUAAUUUAGCACGAAUCUCAAACUAGGCGAAGUUUUGUUGGAGAUUUUUUGGAGAUAAAUAGAUCAAGCAAAUAUGCAUAUAAAAAUAAAAAUACAGAGAGAACACAGA
rnacentral:lncRNA from 1 species